UACGUAGGCAGCGAGCGUUGUUCGGAGUUACUGGGCGUAAAGGGUGUGUAGGCGGUUGUUUAAGUUUGGUGUGAAAUCUCCCGGCUCAACUGGGAGGGUGCGCCGAAUACUGAAUGACUUGGAGUGCGGGAGAGGAGAGUGGAAUUCCCAGUGUAGAGGUGAAAUUCGUAGAUAUUGGGAAGAACACCGGUGGCGAAGGCGGCGCUCUGGACCGAGACUGACGCUGAGGCGCGAAGGCGUGGGGAGCAAACAGG
rnacentral:rRNA from 1 species